CUCAGAGCAAAACCAUGGCAACUGCCAACACAGAGCCAGGUUCCCCUCCCCCUCCCCAACCCUCAUUCUCAGGGGUGGCCGCCAGCCAACUCCUUCAACUGGGAACCCGACUGGGGAAGUGAGUAGGAUGUGCUGGGCAGACACAGGACUUUGUCAGAGCUCACCGCUGGCCAGGGGGGUGGGAGACGGCACCCCCGCUCCCAGGAGAAUGUCAGAGGCCCGUGGUGGUGAACCCUGUUUGGCGACAAAGGCCUAGAAAGUGCACGGAGAAAAUGGAAUCCAGUACGUCUCUCCUGAAACGGAUCUUUUGUUCCUCUGCAGCCUCCAGGAACCUUCCCUGAGGUGGGUGCCAGCGGCGAUCCCGUUGCACAGAAGAGGAGCCGAGACGCAUCGAGGUCGGGGACCUGCCUUAGGUCCGCGGCCACCAAGUGGGGCGCGGGGCUUUCGGUGGGAUCCAGGCUGCUCUCGCCCGUCCCCCCGGGAUCUGAGGCCCGGAGAGU